GCAUAUCCUUGAAUUUUUCUCUAAACCCGCCCUUUUUUAGUUCUAAAUUGCUGUAAAGUGUAAACCCUUUUUCUUCCUUGUGAACGGUUUCCCACUGGUAGAGCAGAGGUUAUUUGGCUGCUCCACUGCGUCUUCUCCGUUCUUCACUCUCCUCUAAGGCCAGCGAAUUCAAGCUCGAACAAUCGAACUCAAGCUCCAGUGAAUUCAAGCUCCAAUUUUCCUCCUUUGUUUCGAAUUUCAGAUUUAGGGUCUUGAAUUCAAGCUCCAAUUUCCUCCUUUGUUUCGAAUUUCAGUUCUUUUUUCCUCUUGUUUUAUGGACUAAUGCUAAUAUGAUGAGCUUGUCGAAGUAUGGAAAAGUUCUGGAGGUGCACUACUAAGGUUUCACUGAACCUCAUCAUAUAUGGCCUUGUCUCACUGACGAUCAAUGGAUGAAGGAUGGCUUAGCGGCAAAGCCUAAGUUUGAAAAAGAAAUGUAAGGAGUGGACCUCUAGCCAUCCACUACUGCACCAAUGAUUGGGUUGAUGUUAGGGGGAAGGGGACCGUAACUAUCAAGAAAGUGAGUAGGGUCGAGUCCAAUCCAUUGGAUACUCUUCAUCCCCGAGCAUAACAACUACUAGGGAUUGAACCAUGGUGGUGACCAUAGUCAUGUAAGCCUAAGAUUUGAGCUGUCAGCUCAUUGGCACCAAUAAAUGCAAAGUGGUAUUUGUCUUAGAGUAACCAUUUUAGAGGACUGCACUUAAAGUCUUAACCAUUGUAGGCAAUUUUGGUCCAUAUCUGAUCUUUUUGUUUUCAGUAAUUUCAAAUGUUUGAUUGAAGUGAAACAUGUUGCUAAACUUCUACUUUCUUUACUCUAACUUGUUACAGUUUAUAUUUUAUUUAACCUAUCUUCAUGCUUAAAUCUUGAUGUUAAUCUUUAUCUACUUUGUGUAACUCAUUAAACGAGGCAGAAGACUAGGAUCAGAAUAUCAGAUAGAAGUUGUCUAAAUUAGAUGGUCACUUUUGAGCUUUAACCUCCUAUUUCAUCUAUGAUCCUUGCAUAUGUGUAGAUUACAUUAUUUGUUGUCUAUUUGGAGAAUUUCUUCAAUUUAUAGAGAUAAUUGUGGAGUAAAAUGGCUCUCACUCAUAAGUCAUAAUAUUGUUUAGUGCUCACAAGGAUGAAAAUAUUCACUCUCUCUUAUAUGAACCAUCAAAGAGAUUAAUAAAGAGGGAAGGCUGAUGGUUUAUGUAAAAAUCUCAGUGAUCGAUUUUUUCGAAUUUCCCUGUAGUUAUCAUAUUUCUUCUUCGUAGUCCCAACGAAAUCUAAAUUCAUUUAUACCUUUCAGAUUUCCAUUAAUUUUGUUACUAUACACUUUGGGUUAAUUGAUUACUUGUACUGUUUCUAGGAGUAAUAUGCUUGAAACUACCUUUUAUGAUGCCAGUUUGCCCAAAGCUUUCUUGUAUAUUCAUAUUUAUUCAAGUACCAAUAUGUUAAUUCUCUUAAUAAUCUACCAUCCAUGUUUGCAAUUUUGUAAUAAUACUCUGAAUGACUUAAGCUGGUGGUAAGAUUUUGACUUAAGUAAAGAGAACUUUCUGUCAUUAAAGUUUUGGUGGGUUUUUUUAAAAACAUUUUGAUACAUGAUUGGCUAAAUGAAAUAUCAAAAACGAGGGAUGCUGUUGUGCAGACUAAUGUCAAUAUGGGCAGUUUUUGGCAAAAACUCAAUAAAUGUUUUUAUGGCUUACUGGUCAUUGUGUUCUUAUCUGAGUAAAUUGCUUCUUGGAUUUCUUAUCGUGCUGUUUAUCGUUUUCUUUCAAGGAAUCUCGGGGACAAUCAAUUUACUGGCAAAGUUAGUUCCUGAUGAGCUUGGGAACUUAAUGAACUUUAAGAUGUUGUAAGUACAUCAUUUCUAUAGCAGAGAUAUUUUCUUCUUCUUUUUGUAGACUUUUUAUUUUUAACCAAUAAAUAUUCUUGAUACAUCUGUUUAGAAUUUAGAUCAUAUACUUUCUCUCUUUUGGUAUGCAUUUUAGAGUGUAGUCAUCAAACCAUUUAAGUGGAACACUGCCUCAAACACUUGUGCGUCCGAAGAAUUUGACGGAUUUGUAAAUUUGCAACAAUUGUAAACCAUCUCCUAAGUACAACAUUUUCUACCUCAUUUAGAUGUCCUAUUUACUUCUAAUGCAGUCGGAUUAAUGAUAAUAACUUCGAUGGAGUUAUACCAGAUUAUAUAAAAGAUUGGGAGCAGCUCAACAGAUUUCACGUAAUCCCAUGCUAUACCUAAAUUUGUUUCCAUGAGAAGAUUAAAAGGAAUUCAGAAAUCAGAUGGAAUCAAUUAUCAAAUAGAGUGCCCUCACAAACCGCUUGGUACUCUAGACUGUGGAUAUUAUGUGUGUCGCUACAUGUUUGAGACGGUACAAUUGAGACGACUAGUACAUAUGUCGGAGAUCAACACGAAGCACAAAUGAUGAAUGAGUUCCAACUUUCUACCUAAUUUUUUUUUAUCUUAAUCCAUGUUUGGACAUACAUUAUAUUUUUGGAUUUGGAUAUUGAUAUCAUGUGGAUGUGGCUAUAGGCUAGAUUUGAUCUUGUUUAUGAUUUAGAUUAAUAUUGAUAUGUAUAUAUAGUAGUUUUUUUAGAAGUUUAGAAUUAUGAAUAUUAGUUGAAUUAUUUUGUAAUAUAAAAAAAUUUUGAAGGUUGGAAUAUCAUAUUUAAUUUAUUGGUUGUAA